rnacentral:lncRNA from 1 species
GCGGCGAUGCUGGACGGCGGCGCGGUGGAGUGUUUUUUGAGGCUGUUGAGGUCGGAGGAGUUUGAAUCGAGCGAGGAGAGCUGCGUGGCGGCGUUGUACGGGCUGAGCUACGGCGGGUUGAGGUUCAAGGGGCUGGCGAAGGAGGGCGGGGCGGAGGCGGUGGUGGAGAGGGUGGAGAAAAAGGGGAGGAGCGAUCAGGCGAGGGAGAAUUGCAGGAGGAUUUUGGAGGUGUUGAGAGAGAAACACGAUGAAGAUGAGGAUGUGAAUUGGGAGGAAUUGUUGGGUUUCAACGAUGAUCUUGAUCUCUCCCGCUCCCGCUCCUCUUCUUGAUUCGAAAUCAAAAAUAUAUAUUUGUGGAUAAAGAAUUUUGGUGGGUGUGGAUUUGGAAGAUUGGAAUUUAAGCUGGUUGGUUGGUUUCUUGUAUGAUUUUGGUGUGAUGUGUAUUUAAUUAGGUGGAUUUGUCACAAAUGAAUUAGUGGAUUUGUGUUACACUCAUAACUUGAAUGGGGAUUUGGAAAACACGUUCUUGGGAUUUGGAAAACACGUUCUUGCUUGAUUGCCGAACUUGUGUGUGUUUAAUUAUGGUUAAUUCAUAAUCAUACUAGGCACUUGCACCAUAAUAAAUACAUACGCAUAAGAAGGAUAACUAUGUAGCCGUGACAUUGAAUUUUAUACCUAUUUUCCAUAUCAUAUGGGUAGACUGGGUAGUAGAUAGUUGGGCUGAAUGGAGCUUAUAAAUAUUCAAUUCGAUAUUUUGACAUUCGUAUUUGAAAUUAUUCGAUUUGUAUUCGAUUAUAAAUAUUCAAUUCGAUUCGAUUAGUAAACGAAUCGAAUAUGAAAUUUUAAUACUUAUUUUAUAUAUUUUUUCCCUUAAUAUUUUAGUAAACGAAUCAAAUAUGAAAUUUUAAUAUUGUUUCUUUGCAAUUUCGAAUCGAAUCGAAUAGCUUGUAAAACGAAUUGAAUAUUCAAUUUUUUUUUAUAUAGAGUAAUUAUAGAAAACGAAUCGAAUACUCGAAUCGAAGUGAAUAAUUGAAAAUAAAAUCAAAUCUAACAUCGAACCGCAUUUAGAAUUCGAAGGUACCGUUGAAUGGCUCUUGCUGUUAUCUUUCCAAUUAUACUUAUAUUGUUGAAUUUUGAUCACCAAAAGUGAUACAAAAAGAAUGACAUGAAAGUUGAUGUUAUAAAACUCUAUUUUUUAAAUUUUUUUUUAUCACUUUCGGUGAUAAAAAAUAUGGGUAUCAUUAGAAAGUUUUCAUCAAAAUGUUUCCCACAGUAUAUUUGAAUUAUCCAUCGGACUCCAAACAUAUUAAAUUAUUAAUCAGUGAAUAUUUAGAGUCCGACCAAAUUUCAAAAAAUAAAAAAUUUAUGUAUUUUUGGCAAAAAAAAAAAUGAUUAAAAACCAAGUUUUGGAAAUAAUUAGUGUAUUUAUAGAUAAUGAACUCUUAAAAUUAUAAAUUUAUUAAUAUUCUAAUUAUAUUUUAAAUUAGGGGGCUAUACCCUCCGAGCUAUGUAUUCAGACUAGGCCCGGUCUUGGAUCAGAUUGGGUUGGCCCAAUCUUUUAUAGUAAUGACCCAUUUUUUGGCAUAUACGGUAAUAUGUGCCUAACCCGCGCGCAAAUUCGAAUAUGGUCCGUCUUAAUUAAGGGGCAAAAUAGUCAUAAAAAGUGAAAAAUGUCAGAUUUUGUGUUUUUCAAUUAGUGGCAAAAUAUUGUGUUUCAUUUUUCAAAAUGGUCAUACGAGUAUAUUGUUUCUUAAAAUUAUACAAAGUUAAUAGUAAUAAUUAUAAUUAAGAUUUGUAUUGUGUAUACGACCUCCGUAGGUGGUAUACGGAAAUCAUGAUAAUAUUUUCGGGCUUUUAAUUUAUAAAGGGCCGUGUGUUUCCUAUUACUUCUUACCAAACAAAAUAUUAGAGUGUCAUAGCUAUAUUAUACAUCCUAAUCAUUCGUACUAAACGAGUCGCCGUAAAUGAACAUUUACUUCGAAGGAUUAGUAUUGAUAAAUAAAAAUAAUAAGGCUAAUUCCUUAUUUAUUUUAAUGAAUUGAAGCUUUAGAAUACUCUAAGAUGUCUGAUUAUUUUUAUCAUUUAAGAUAAUUUUAUUUGAAUCUUAUCAUAUAAAAGAUGAGAUAUGAAAAAUUUUAUUAUUAAAAAUAAAAAUACUCAAUCAUAUGUCGUACUAGUGAGACAAAGUAAACACCCUCUAAAAAUGCAUUUCAAAUUUGCAGUCGCUGACGUGCAUAAUGCUAUUAGGCUAUAUCAUGGGAAGCAUUUAAUAAGAUUUUUUAAAUUAAUAAAACUAUGCAGCCAUCAGAUCCUUUUUUUAAAUUAAUAAGAUUUUUUUAAAUUAACAAGUAAUGAUGAGGUACCGAACGGUUGCUGGACAAUACUUUGAGCAACUUUUUGAUGCGUCGCGGACUUCUCACGAUUUCCAUCAGAUCCUUUACUCGGCUUAUUCCUCGUAUUGACGGGGAUAUGAAUGAUGAACUCACCAAACCUUUUCAGCAGGAGGAAUUCAAAGUCGCGAUCUUCCAAAUGCAUCCGGAUAAAUCUCCGGGCCCGGACGGUUUCAACCCAAUUUUUUUUCAGAAAUUUUGGAGUUUGAUUGGAGAUGACAUCUUCAAUAGUUGUGUUCAAUGGCUGAAUGAGGAGGUUUUCCCACCAAAGCUUAAUCAUACUCUCAUUUCUCUCAUUCCAAAAGUUGCUUCUCCAACUAGUAUGAAAGAGCUUCGACCUAUUGCGCUAUGUAAUGUUAUCUACAAGAUAAUUUCUAAACUGUUGUGUAACAGGCUGAAAUGAGUGCUUCCGGACCUUAUUGAUCGUGCUCAGUCGGCUUUCGUGGAAGGAAGAUUGAUUCAGGACAACAUUCUUAUUGCCUUUGAGGCUAUACAUUCCAUGAAGCGAAAAACUAGAGGCCGACAUGGAACUAUGGCCCUCAAGAUCGACAUAAGCAAGGCUUAUGACCGCGUUGAUUGGCAUUAUCUUGAUGCAGUGCUUCGCCGCCUGGGCUUCUGUGAUAAAUGGCGUGCAUGGAUUAAUAUGUGUGUUAGAUCCGUUUGCUAUGAUGUACUCAUAAAUGGUGACACUAUCGGCCCAAUCAUCCCGGGAAGAGGGCUGCGUCAAGGAGACCCUUUGUCUCCGUACCUCUUCAUUCUCUGCGCAGAAGGCUUAUCAGCGAUGAUUCUAUAUGAGACUGACCGUGGCUUGCUGCAUGGGAUUCAAUUAGGCCGUGGAGGUCCUGCUAUCUCCCAUUUGAUGUUCGCUGAUGAUUGCGUAUUCUUUUGUCGAGCUUCUCCUGCUGAAUGCACACGCCUUAAAGAAGUUCUCGGUAUUUAUGAAGCAGCGUCGAGACAAGCUAUUAAUUAUCAGAAAUCUGGUGUCUUCUACAGCUCAAACAUUGCCGCAGCAGAUCGGGAUGCGAUGUCUAAUAUCUUGGGAGUCUCUGCACCAUUAAAUACUGGAAGAUACCUUGGCCUUCCUUCUCUUAUUGGACGCAAAAAGAAAGAGAUUUUCAGCUAUCUAAGGGAGAGGAUCUGGAGUUGCAUCCAAGGAUGGAACGGAAAAAAGUUGUCUAAGGCCGGUAAGGAGAUACUUAUAAAGGGAGUAGGUCAAGCUAUUCCUUCUUUUGCUAUGUCGUGCUUUGCUCUACCCGUGACAUUAACUGAUGAGAUUGAGCGUCUUUUAAAUACGUUCUGGUGGGGGAAUAAGGGCGGUUGGGGAAAGGUAUAAAUUGGUAAAUGGGAAGGCUGUGUGUUGACAAGGCCUUGGGGUUUGGGUUCCGGAGUUUACAACUCCUCAAUCUGGCGCUUACUUGGAAGACCGGAUGGAGAUUAAUUGAUGAGCCCGAAGCUUUGGUUUGCGUGUUUUAAAAGCAAAGUACUUCCCAAAUACGAUUUUCUUAAUGCCUCGGUGGGUCACAGCCCGAGCUUUCGUGGCGUAGCAUCUGCUCGGCCCAGGACUUGUAGACGUGGGACUCGGUGGCGGAUUGGAAUGGUCUAAGGUUCGUGUUUUCCAGACCCUUGGCUGAGAAAUAAAGAAAUUUCCGAGUUACGGCGACUGCCCUCCUGAGCGUGGAGAUUUACGUGUGCAUGAGCUUUUCCUUCCAAUUCUCAUAGAUGGGAUGUUGAUUUGUGAGAUCCUUGUUGGGUGUGAUGUCGAGAUUAUAGCCUUCCUCGCUUCCCCAGUCGGGGAGGAUAAUUUGGUGUGGCAUACUCCGAUAAUGGAGAUAUACUGUAAGUCCGCGUACAAACUUGCAGCUCUCUACCUGAUGAGGCUCAUGCAGUUGAUGGUAGUGGUCCAACUGUGGAAACUAAAGUACCCCAAAGGUCCGAAAUUUCUUUGGCGGGGGCUCGAAAUAACCUCCCUUCAAAGAAAACUUUUUGGCUCGGGGUGUCCAAGUUGGAGGCGAAUGCGCUACGUGUGGGGGAGGUUUUGAGAAUCUUUGGCAUACGUUCUUGUAUUGCCCUUUUGCUGAGGCGGUUUGGCAGGAGAGUUCCAUCAAGUCGCUCAUCGACCCCAUUAUCGACAGCAGCGACUCCUUCAAAGAAGUCCUCUUCCGAGUUGUUGAUGUGAAUAUGGAUGAUACUAAAACGAAAGCUUGCAUGAUCUUAUGGCAGAUUUGGAAAGAUCGAAAUAUGGUGAUUUGGCAGAACAAGUUCCCGUCUCCUACUCAUUCUGUUCAAGCUGCUGCUAGCAGCAGACGCGAAUGGCUUCUUGCCCGAUCAAAAGCUUCCCCUCAACAAAAUACCGCUGUUUCGCCGGUAUGUUUAGGCUGGCACCCACUCCCUGCGGGUGCUGUGAAGGUUGGGGUCGAUGCAGCUUUUUUCCAAGAGGAACACUCCAUGGGCGUUGGUAUUGUUAUCCGUAAUCAUGAGGGUGAUUUCAUCACUGGUAAAUCCAUUAAAAUGUUGGGUCGUUGCAGCGUAGAGGAGGGAGAAUUGGUGGGAAUUAAGGAAGCUUUAUCUUGGCUGAAAGAUCUUGGAUUUCAGCAUGGUCAUGUGGAUUCGGACUCUAAACGAGCGUGUGAUGCGAUUCAUUCAACGGAGAGAAACAUUACGGAGUCGGGCGUCAUCGCUCGUUUUUGCCGUAAUAUCUUAUCUUCACUUCCGGGUUUCCAUGUCCGUCAUGUUAAGAGAGAGUUCAAUAUUAUUGCUCAUUGUUUAGCUAAAAAUGCGAGAGGUAUUACUACACAUCAUGUUUGGAAUGAACCUCCGUCCUUUGUGGUGGGUCAUCUCCACGUCCCAUGUUCUUGUGUGCAAUAAAUUUAUCCUCGCCUUACAAAAAAAAAAAAUAAAUAAAUAAAUAAUUUGGACAAGAAGUACUAAAAAACACCAUUUUAAUUAUUAUCAUAGUAAAUCAAAUGGUAUUUAUGAGUUAUGUGACUAAUGCAAACUUCUAAGGCCAUGUUUGGUUAGCUCUCUUGUCCUUGAUAGGCUAAUAGUCCAGCGUUUUUUUUAGUUUGGUUUGUUGGGCUAAAUUCAAAUUCGGCCCGUAGCAGCCCGCAGGCCUGUAACUAAAAAUCAGUUUUACCUUGCUACUGUAACAGGCGCCGAGCGCCAGUUAAGAUUUCUGGAGGAAUUAUAUUAGUCAGAUUAAAAUUUGAUUUUCAUUUUUGCCCUCUGGUAAGCCCGCCUAAAAGCUCUAGUAAUACAAGACGCCAUUUUUUGCCCUAGUUCAGCGGCUGAGCUUCUCUGGUAAGACGGUUCCAUAAUUUUCUCUUCAUUUGAACAAAAAAAACGAUGCUAAUCGCCGUCUAGAAUUCUUCGAUAUGCUAUGGGAUACUUGCUAAUCUCCCAGAAAUUUUUGAUUGACAAAUUUGGUGGUGUUCAUGGGCAAUCCCCAAAAUAAAUCAUACACAAUUAAUUUGUUGUUAAUUUCUUCGAUGAGAUUGAAAUUACUCAUUCAUCAUUGCUAAAAGUUUGAUUUUUUUUUUACCCAGACAUCCGUAUCACGAUUUUUUCUUUGUUCGCUCGUUGAAGGCCUACCGCGAUUUUGAGCUCUUUGAAAACUGAUUUAUUCACCAACUAAAAAUUUUCAUUUUUCUCUUGCUUACUAAUAUCUUGCUUAAAACUGAUUUAUUCACCAACUAAAAAUAACGAUUCCAUGAGAUUCUUCCCGAAAAUAUUGAAAAUAAGACAGGGGUAUGCUUGACAUUUUAUUCGCUAAUAUCAUCAUUAACGUAUAUUUACCAAACAUAUUAUUAGUUUAGUGAUCGUAAUUACCUUAUCAAGCAAACACAUUACUAAAUUAAUCAACACUGUAGCAAAUCAUAGGCCCUAAUGAUUGUAACAACCUACUAUAAUCAUACCAAUACAACCAAACAUGGCCUAAAUUUAGUAGCACACAGACAGCCUUAACCAACGGCAAUAACGGUUUUCCACUGCUAAAAUAGUCAAAAACACAAAAUCAACACAAUUCCACACGGAUUCGACAAAAAUCCAAAAUGAAGAUCAACAAGGAACUGCAAUCGGAAUCCGAAUACACCAAGAAAAAGAGGAAAAAAAGAUCACAAAACACAUUCUUGUAAAUAUAUUACCUUUUCCUUUUUUCUUUUUCUUGCUUAAGCUUUUAUGGCCAUUGUUGAUCAAUUUCAUGGCCUCUGCAUUUUCUUGAUCAUUUUUUUCCCAAUUAGCACGGAUUCCAAUCCAGAUUCCGACGCUCUCCUAAGGCUCAAAUCAUCGUUCAUGAAUCCCAGACCUCUCGAUUCGUGGAGGCCCGGGACAGAGCCCUGUGUAAAUAACAAGGGGCAAUGGGUGGGUGUAGUGUGUGAAAACGGCGUCGUUUCCGGGCUUCGUCUCGGCAGAUUGGGCCUAUCGGGGAGGAUUGAUGUGGACGCAUUGGCCUCCAUUUCGGGCCUAAGGAGUGUUGUUUUCACUUUCAAUUCUUUUUCGGGCUCAAUUCCGAAUUUCAAUUUGACAAAUGCUCUCACUGGAUUAUACCUCAACGGGAACCGGUUUUCUGGCCCGAUUGCUUCGGAUUUCUUCGUGAAAAUGGAGGGUUUGAGGCAGGUUUGGUUGUCGGAAAACAACUUUUCCGGCCCGAUUCCGGCUUCUCUGGCCCGGUUGUCGCAGUUAACCGAGCUGCAUUUGGAGAAUAACCGGUUUUCGGGCUUGAUCCCUGCAUUUGAGCAGAAGAGCUUGGUCUCAGUCAACUUCAGCAACAACAAUUUAGAAGGAGAGAUCCCUCUCGGCCUCUCGAGGUUCGGGCCGGGGGCGUUUCAGGGGAAUUCCGGGCUGAGGAGGAGGAAGAAUCACACCUCCGAUGAGGUCUUGGUGAUGGUUUUCUACUUCUUGAUGUCGUGUGCGGCUCUUCUUCUGGUUAUCAUGGCCGUCGUGUUCCUCGUGAGGCGUGGGGCCGAGGAUGUCGAGGAUGAGCAUGCGCAGCAUAGCGUGGAGAGCCCCCUCACCCCCGGUGGUGCUUCCGGGAAGAAAGUGUUUGGGUCGAUCAAGAGAGGGUUUGGGUCGAGUAUCUAUGGGCGGGGGGCGAGGGGGGAUGAUCUGGUUUUUGUGGACGAGGGGAAGGGCUCGUUUGGUAUGAGUGAUAUGAUGAGGGCGGGAGCUGAGGUGAUGAGGACGGGAGCGUUGGGGUCCUCGUUCAAGACCACGAUGGGCCGGGGGGAUGGGCCGUCGGUGGUGAAGAGGGUGAGGGAGUUAGAAUAAAAGUUGGGAGGGUUGAGUUUGAUGAGAAGAUUAGGUGGUUAGGGAGUUUGAAGCACAAAAAUGUGUUGCCUUUGUUUGGCUUUCUAUAAUGGGAAGGAGGAGAAGCUUUUGGUGUAUGAGUAUCAACAUAAGGGCAGCUUGCUGCUUCGGUUGCACGGUAUAUCCACUUACUUCUAUAUACAUUUGCUGUGAAAAAUUAUAUAUAUAAAAAAAUAUUGUCACUUAUACCAUUCAAAAUCCUGAAUCACGAAUUUAUUCAGCACCAUCUUAUUAUAUAUGAUACAUACAUGGACUCAUUUGAACUUGCUCGUUGUGUAACAGAUGAUCAAGGGAGCUCCCCCACUGAGCUAAAUUGGCCUCUGAGACUGAAGAUCAUUCAAGGGAUUGCUAGAGGACUUGACUUCCUUCACACAGAGUUAUCAUCCUUGGAGUUACCCCACGGUGACCUCAAAUCGAGCAACGUCCUUCUGUCCGUGGACUACGAGCCAUUGCUUGCAGACUACGGAUUCUGGUCGUUGAUCAGCCAGAGCCCAGCCGCAAGGUCAAUGGCCGCGUUCAAGGCGCCAGAGGCAUUGGGGCGAAAUUGCAUUUCACCCCAGUGUGAUGUCUACUUUCUAGGAGUGAUGAUCCUUGAGAUCCUCGCGAGGAAAUUCCCCUCUCAGUACCUCAGCAACACUCAGGGCGGCACAGACUUAGUGCUGUGGGCGCGCUCAGCAGUUGCUGAGGGGCGAGAAGGGGAUCUACUCGAUCCCGACCUAGCAAACAAGGACGAUUCCGUGCAGCAGAUGAAGCAAUUGAUCCACAUUGCUCUGGCUUGCACGGAAGAUGAACCUGAUGAGCGUUUAGGCCUUAAAGAAGUUGUUGGUAGGAUAGAAGGUUUGUGUGUUGAUGGAAGGAGCGAUCACGAGGCACGGAGGUACGAUUCCGUGCCAUCUCCGAGAGAUGGUUACGGUGAUCUGCAGCCACCAGCUGCGGACGGUUGUUCUCCGGGGAGGAGGCGAGACAGCUUAGGAGAUGAGCCGGGGAGAGAUAGCAUUACUUUCGAGAUUUCAUGAUUAGGAUUUCUAUGUGUUUUGGAUGUGAGAAUGCAUGCAGUUUUUGGAAAGGAAAUCUUGGUUGAGUUUCUUGUUGGUGUUGAAAAGGGCUUAAGGAUUCAUUUUGUAGCCAAAGUUGUAUUCUAUAUGGUUUUGAACAGCAGAGAUCAGGGGAUUUUUUUUCCACUAUCUGAUGGCCAUUUUCUCAAUCUUGAAGGGAUGAGAUUCUCUAUCUCAAAAUUUUGAUUUUUCAUCUUUAAUAAAUUAAGAAUUGAGAUGUUAAAUAAGUAAUAGGCACUAAUAAUGAAUUACAAUUAUCUAAAACUUGAACAUAAACUAUAAAUUAUUUAACAGAAGUCAAGCAGCUUGAAAAAAACCCGACCGACGUUAGGACUAAUUUCGGUCGAUUUUUUUGAUCGGUCCAAUUUUUGCACACACACAAACCAUCAAGCUGCUCUUUUCCACGUCAAAUUGCCUCAAACACACAUAUGUAUCAAAUAUAAUUUAGACAUUUUUUUUUUGAUAAAUUAACAAUAUUAAAUAAAGAAAUUUAAAGACCGCGCCACAGGGAACUCGAAGUCAAGACCUUUGACAUUGGGUAUUAACCCAUUACCGCUUGGCCAACACACGCACACAAACUCUUGAUAAUUCAUUGUGAAGAAGGGUAUGAAACUCUCAGUAUAAUUAACGAUCAUGAUAUGAUGUGAAAAUGAACUUUCUAAUUUAUUUAUUUUCACAUGAUAAAUAUAGGGUACUAUGAACCAAUAUUUUUUUCAUUUCGUUAUCACAAUAUAUAUACAAUACGAUUAUAUUAAAAUGAAAAGUAACAUUUGAAUAAUUCAGUAGAGCAAAGAAAUUGAGUUGAAAUAUAAGAAACAUUCAACAUGAGUAGCAAGUGAAAUAUGAAUAGAAAGAAAAGAUUAACAUUACCAAUAUGCAUGCAUGCAUGAAAUGGACUCAUUUCCACUACCUGCACACUUAUAUAAGUCAAAUAUCAGAAAAUGAAUGUACAAAUAGAAUCAAUAUUCUAAACCAAAUCUGCAGAUUGUCUUUUGUACCUUAGUUCUACAACCAUUUAACAUGAAAGUUAGGACUCGCGAAGCUCUCCAUUGCUAUGUCGUUGAAGCUCGAGAGGGUAACUUGAAUUUNNNNNNNNNNNNNNNNNNNNNNNNNNNNNNNNNNNNNNNNNNNNNNNNNNNNNNNNNNNNNNNNNNNNNNNNNNNNNNNNNNNNNNNNNNNNNNNNNNNNNNNNNNNNNNNNNNNNNNNNNNNNNNNNNNNNNNNNNNNNNNNNNNNNNNNNNNNNNNNNNNNNNNNNNNNNNNNNNNNNNNNNNNNNNNNNNNNNNNNNNNNNNNNNNNNNNNNNNNNNNNNNNNNNNNNNNNNNNNNNNNNNNNNNNNNNNNNNNNNNNNNNNNNNNNNNNNNNNNNNNNNNNNNNNNNNNNNNNNNNNNNNNNNNNNNNNNNNNNNNNNNNNNNNNNNNNNNNNNNNNNNNNNNNNNNNNNNNNNNNNNNNNNNNNNNNNNNNNNNNNNNNNNNNNNNNNNNNNNNNNNNNNNNNNNNNNNNNNNNNNNNNNNNNNNNNNNNNNNNNNNNNNNNNNNNNNNNNNNNNNNNNNNNNNNNNNNNNNNNNNNNNNNNNNNNNNNNNNNNNNNNNNNNNNNNNNNNNNNNNNNNNNNNNNNNNNNNNNNNNNNNNNNNNNNNNNNNNNNNNNNNNNNNNNNNNNNNNNNNNNNNNNNNNGAGCUACUACUUAAAAUCUAAUACAUACUUAGAAAAAAAAAAAUGGAUUCUAUCUAUAAAAUAAGAAAAGAAAGAAAUAACGCUAAGAAAGAGACACGUGGCAAAGAGCACCCAAAGCCUUUAUACAUAAUCCGCACAUGGAUAAAAUUGGCAUAAAUUUUUUUAAUAUUAAAAAAAUCAAAUAUUUUUUUUUAGAUUUUUUGAAGCCGACAUGUUUUGAUACAUAAGUUUUAACACAAAAAUAAAAAACAUUGCACACAAAAAUGCAUCACAUUGUACACAAAAAUACAUUGCAUUUGGCAACUGAUCAAGUAUUUUUUUACUGUUGCCCACACCCACCCACCCACUCACCCACCCCCUGAUCAUUUUUAUUAUUAUUAUUUUUUUAUUUUGCAUAACUUUGCACAUAAAGAUACAUAAUAUUGCAUAUAAAAUUUUGAAUCGGGGAUGGAUGGGAUGAGUGGCAAAAAAUACCAAAUCGGUUGCAAAAUGCAUGCAGUUUGAUGUGCAAUGUUAUGCAUUUUUUUUUAAAAAAAAACUUAUGCAUCAAAAACAUGUCAGCUUUAGAAAAUACGAAAGAAAAUCAACAAAAAAAUAUAAAAAAAUAAUAAUUUUUUUUAAUAUUCAAAAUAUUUAUUUCAAUUUUAUCCAUGCGUGAAUUAUGCCUUGAAAGGCAUUUAUCGCGCGGGCCGACCCACCGAAUUUCAGGCUAGUCCUAGCGGGUUACGGGUUAUUCGAGUGCGGGCUAAUCGAGUUGAAAUUUUUUUUUUUUUGGGGUUAGGAAUUUCAACUCUAACUCUAAAUGUUCAGGUUUUCAGCCUUAACCCUUUACGAUUGGCGGGUUAAUCGGGUCAGUCCAUAAAUUUCGGACUGAAUUGAUAUCCUUACAUGUCAUAAUUUUGACGCGUUAUAUGAACAUAGUGUGAUCCAGAAUUAAUACUAUAUAUACAUACAGACUUGGGUACUACAUGGUAUCCUUCGUCUAUAUAUUUGUGAAAAUUUGAAAAUAAGGAAGUCAAUAAGCAUGACAUAGAAUGAAGUUAAUAAAUGAAGGCCUAAUUUACUAAUACACACAUACUGGGGCCCAUGGGAUCCAUUCGAUUCUGUAUUUUGGGCUCCCUACAAAUACCCCUUCCAUCACCAAGUAAUCCUCAUCAAAAAUUCUUGCUCACAACUGCCAUCCUUGUCUUGGAUGCUGUUGUCUGCUUGAAUUUUCAAGCUACUAACGUUGAUAUGCCUGCGAGAAGGAGCCCCAAUCACAUUCCCUCGGAGUCGGAGGGCAUCGUCACCAUCCUCGCCGAAACCUGCAAGGCCGGAUCCAUACGCCGCACUCUCUCCGCCGACAUGUCCUCCAAGAAAUGGCUUCACCAAAACGGCUUCUUCUCCCCCAUCAAGAAGAUCGUCUCCUCCCAACAAAUCGCCCCUAAUCAAGACCAAGUCUGGAGCUCUAUCCAAGCCGACAAGGACAAGAAUGAUCAGCCACCUCAAACCACCGGAGUUUGGGGAUUGAUUCUCACUCAAAAGAGCGACACUUCCCCGCCCUACAUCCCACCCAUGCUCAAGAGGAGCACCAGCAGCUUGAGCGACAAGAGCCUCGAGGUCUGCACCGAGAGCCUCGGCUCCGAGACUGGCUCCGACUGCUUCUCCUGCCCCACCGAUGCAGAUGAUCAAGACACAGACGACCAGAUCUUGUCGCAGAGAAACGAGGACGACCCUUUUGCUGAUUUUCACGUCGUCAAGUACAAGAACUCGCCGCCGAGGCCCUUCCCUCCGCCGCUGCCCUCCAUCGCCGCCGGCGCCUCCCUGCAAAUGCAAUCCCACCGCCAGAACGGGAGGCUGGUUCUCGAAGCCGUCUCCGUUGCUCCCAGAAACGUUUUCCACGCCCGCCGCCACGACGGCCGCCUUCUCCUCACCUUGGAGCAUGCUCCGGAAGCCGAGGAGGAGGAGGAGGAGGAGACGGCGGUGCAACUGAAAAGUGGUGGUGGAAAAGAAGAAUCUUUGGUGGAGAAGAAUCUGUCUUUGCCAAGUGGGAUGAUAAGUGUGCAUAAAUCAGGGCUAGUGAUGAAAAAGCUUAUGGCGGUAGGGAAUAUUAACCCCAAAUGGGCCAAUGACGUGGCCGCGCGCGACGGCGGGGAGAUUUCCCCGCAGUCGCUGCCGCCGCGGCCGCGGGCCGGGCGGCUGUCCUUCAACGACUACGAGUACUUCUGGCGGAGCGAGCCCGGGUUCAUGAUCAGCAGGAGUGUGCAGGAACCGAACCGAACCGAGAAAACCGAGCGAAUCAGCAGCAAGAUGAAUCAAGAAUUGGUGAUGUACAUGAGGGGUUGCAAAGAGAAGAGGAGAUCACUUAUUUGGGAGAAGCCAUACUGCAUAGCAACUUCUUGAUAUUGUUCCAAGAGAAAAUAAUGAUUUUUAAUUAAUUACCAACAAAAGACAAAAAAUUGUUGAUUUAACCAAUUAAUAUUGUUCAUCUCCCACUCCUAGUGCCUGCCCUGUUGUUCCGAAAAGAUUUGUGUAGCCAGAAAUAAGCCUUAAUGGGAGUGAGAAAAAUACUCUUUUUUCCAUUGCAUGAAUUAUAUUUCAGUUAUGUGUGUGUGAUCGAGUUAGUUAGUUAUGUGAUUAAAAUAACAAUAACAACAAUAGUGAUAAUAAUUACUAUAAUGUGUGGUGAAACUUCAUUAUGUUUGACUUGGUGGGGCACUAUGUUGUCAGUGAGUGCAAUAAUAUAGUAUAAUGGAAUUCACUUUUCCCUUUUUCUUUAUUUUCUUUUUUUUAGCUGAUGAGCAGUUAGUUUGUCUGAUUUUGGUGGUUUGAUGAUAUAUGGUUGAGGUUGGGGACAGUGUGAUCCAAUAUUCUUGAUUUGUGUUGUCCUUUUGGAUUGUGUUUGAACAACAUGAAUGACGCAUGUACAUUCAACUUUAGCAUAAAGAGGAAUGUUUUCGAGAGAAUUAUUACCGGAAAUAUGCUUUGUACGUUCGAAUAGGGUUUAGUGGGAGUGAGAGAGAUAGAGACGUACGCCUGCUAACAUGAUGAUAUUAUUUGGUGCAUGCAGUGUUGUCAAAGAUUAUUUAAUUGUUUCAAUUUUGAUAGAAUCAUGAAAACCAUGUAACUUGGCUUCAUCACGAGUAUUGAUUUUAGGCCACCAGAUAUGA